UCUGUGUCAACUGUUUUAUUUAUUUUUUGCAGUGCCGGGGAUGAAACCCAUGGCUUUGUGCAUGCUAGGUAGGUGCUCUACCACUGAGCUACACUUCCAGCCCUUUUGUUUUAUUUAAUUUUAAGACAGAAUCUUGCUGAAUUGCUGAGGCUGGCACUGGCCUCAAACUUGUGAUCCUCCUGCUUUAGACUCUAAGGCAGCUAUGAUUUCAGGGAUGCACUGCCAUGCCCAGUUCUGUCAACUCUAUUGUAAGUGGUGAAACUCUCUUCUGCAGUCUCACUGGACAGAAUGGGCUCACAUGCCCAUUUCUUAAGCUAUCACUGGCAACUGGGGCUGGACUGCCCUUUGCCCAGUCCAGCCCACUGCUGGAGCUAAGAUUAGAGCCCAUUUCCCCUGGAAUACAUGGAACAAAAUCAGGAUUCAAUGAGGAAGGAAGAAGUGAGAAAUUGGUGCUGGGGAAGCAGCCAGAUAUAACGUCUACUCUCAAGUGCCAAGAAUGUGAAGCUUUGUGCUUGUUAAGGUAAAAAUGAGGAUCAUGGGGGAAAUUUAGUUUUAACAAACUCACAUAUUUAGUUUAAAUAUCUCCAUGUUUCAUCAAGUCUAAGAUAAUAUCAAUCACAUGGUAUAUCAUUAUUUUAUUUUAUUUUAAUUUUUUUUAAGAGAGAGAGAGAGAGAGAGG
rnacentral:lncRNA from 1 species